GGGUUGUGAGGUUAAGCGACUAAGCGUACACGGUGGAUGCCCUGGCAGUCAGAGGCGAUGAAGGACGUGCUAAUCUGCGAAAAGCGUCGGUAAGGUGAUAUGAACCGUUAUAGCCGGCGAUGUCCGAAUGGGGAAACCCAGUGCAAUUCGUUGCACUAUCGUUAACUGAAUACAUAGGUUAACGAGGCGAACCGGGGGAACUGAAACAUCUAAGUACCCCGAGGAAAAGAAAUCAACCGAGAUUCCCCCAGUAGCGGCGAGCGAACGGGGAGCAGCCCAGAGUCUGAAUCAGCUUGUGUGUUAGUGGAACGGUCUGGAAAGUCCGACGGUACAGGGUGAUAGUCCCGUACACCAAAAUGCACAGGCUGUGAACUCGAAGAGUAGGGCGGGACACGUGGUAUCCUGUCUGAAUAUGGGGGGACCAUCCUCCAAGGCUAAAUACUCCUGACUGACCGAUAGUGAACCAGUACCGUGAGGGAAAGGCGAAAAGAACCCCGGCGAGGGGAGUGAAAAAGAACCUGAAACCGUGUACGUACAAGCAGUGGGAGCACCUUCGGGUGUGACUGCGUACCUUUUGUAUAAUGGGUCAGCGACUUAUAUUCUGUAGCAAGGUUAACCGUAUAGGGGAGCCGCAGGGAAACCGAGUCUUAACUGGGCGUUAAGUUGCAGGGUAUAGACCCGAAACCCGGUGAUCUAGCCAUGGGCAGGUUGAAGGUUGGGUAACACUAACUGGAGGACCGAACCGACUAAUGUUGAAAAAUUAGCGGAUGACUUGUGGCUGGGGGUGAAAGGCCAAUCAAACCGGGAGAUAGCUGGUUCUCCCCGAAAGCUAUUUAGGUAGCGCCUCGUGAACUCAUCUUCGGGGGUAGAGCACUGUUUCGGCUAGGGGGUCAUCCCGACUUACCAACCCGAUGCAAACUACGAAUACCGAAGAAUGUUAUCACGGGAGACACACGGCGGGUGCUAACGUCCGUCGUGAAGAGGGAAACAACCCAGACCGCCAGCUAAGGUCCCAAAGUCAUGGUUAAGUGGGAAACGAUGUGGGAAGGCACAGACAGCCAGGAUGUUGGCUUAGAAGCAGCCAUCAUUUAAAGAAAGCGUAAUAGCUCACUGGUCGAGUCGGCCUGCGCGGAAGAUGUAACGGGGCUAAACCAUGCACCGAAGCUGCGGCAGCGACACUAUGUGUUGUUGGGUAGGGGAGCGUUCUGUAAGCCUGCGAAGGUGACCUGUGAGGGUUGCUGGAGGUAUCAGAAGUGCGAAUGCUGACAUAAGUAACGAUAAAGCGGGUGAAAAGCCCGCUCGCCGGAAGACCAAGGGUUCCUGUCCAACGUUAAUCGGGGCAGGGUGAGUCGACCCCUAAGGCGAGGCCGAAAGGCGUAGUCGAUGGGAAACAGGUUAAUAUUCCUGUACUUGGUGUUACUGCGAAGGGGGGACGGAGAAGGCUAUGUUAGCCGGGCGACGGUUGUCCCGGUUUAAGCAUGUAGGCUGGUUGUCCAGGCAAAUCCGGAUAAUCAAGGCUGAGGUGUGAUGACGAGGCACUACGGUGCUGAAGUAACAAAUGCCCUGCUUCCAGGAAAAGCCUCUAAGCAUCAGGUAACAUUAAAUCGUACCCCAAACCGACACAGGUGGUCAGGUAGAGAAUACCAAGGCGCUUGAGAGAACUCGGGUGAAGGAACUAGGCAAAAUGGUGCCGUAACUUCGGGAGAAGGCACGCUGGUGUGUAGGUGAAGUCCCUGCGGAUGGAGCUGAGACCAGUCGAAGAUACCAGCUGGCUGCAACUGUUUAUUAAAACACAGCACUGUGCAAACACGAAAGUGGACGUAUACGGUGUGACGCCUGCCCGGUGCCGGAAGGUUAAUUGAUGGGGUUAUCCGUAAGGAGAAGCUCUUGAUCGAAGCCCCGGUAAACGGCGGCCGUAACUAUAACGGUCCUAAGGUAGCGAAAUUCCUUGUCGGGUAAGUUCCGACCUGCACGAAUGGCGUAAUGAUGGCCAGGCUGUCUCCACCCGAGACUCAGUGAAAUUGAACUCGCUGUGAAGAUGCAGUGUACCCGCGGCAAGACGGAAAGACCCCGUGAACCUUUACUAUAGCUUGACACUGAACAUUGAGCCUUGAUGUGUAGGAUAGGUGGGAGGCUUUGAAGCGUGGACGCCAGUCUGCGUGGAGCCAACCUUGAAAUACCACCCUUUAAUGUUUGAUGUUCUAACGUUGGCCCUUACCGGGGUUGCGGACAGUGUCUGGUGGGUAGUUUGACUGGGGCGGUCUCCUCCCAAAGCGUAACGGAGGAGCACGAAGGUUAGCUAAUCCUGGUCGGACAUCAGGAGGUUAGUGCAAUGGCAUAAGCUAGCUUGACUGCGAGCGUGACGGCGCGAGCAGGUGCGAAAGCAGGUCAUAGUGAUCCGGUGGUUCUGAAUGGAAGGGCCAUCGCUCAACGGAUAAAAGGUACUCCGGGAUAACAGGCUGAUACCGCCCAAGAGUUCAUAUCGACGGCGGUGUUUGGCACCUCGAUGUCGGCUCAUCACAUCCUCGGGCUGAAGUAGGUCCCAAGGGUAUGGCUGUUCGCCAUUUAAAGUGGUACGCGAGCUGGGUUUAGAACGUCGUGAGACAGUUCGGUCCCUAUCUGCCGUGGGCGCUGGAGAAUUGAGGGGGGCUGCUCCUAGUACGAGAGGACCGGAGUGGACGCAUCACUGGUGUUCGGGUUGUCAUGCCAAUGGCACUGCCCGGUAGCUAAAUGCGGAAGAGAUAAGUGCUGAAAGCAUCUAAGCACGAAACUUGCCCCGAGAUGAGUUCUCCCUGAGACUUUAAGUCUCCUGAAGGAACGUUAAAGACGAUGACGUUGAUAGGCCGGGUGUGUAAGCGCAUGCGUUGAGCUAACCGGUACUAAUGAACCGUGAGGCUUAACCUUACAACGCCGAAG
rnacentral:rRNA from 1 species